UACGAAGGGUGCUAGCGUUGUUCGGAAUUACUGGGCGUAAAGCGCACGCAGGCGGUUCGCCAAGUUUGGAGUGACAGUUGUCGGCUCAACCGACAAAGGACUUCAAAAACUGGUGAACUUGAGGACGAGAGAGGAACAUGGAACUCCAGGUGUAGUAGUGAAAUGCGUAGAUAUCUGGAAGAACACCAAUGGCGAAGGCAAUGUUCUGGCUCGUUUCUGACGCUCAGGUGCGAAAGCCAGGGGACGCGAACGGG
rnacentral:rRNA from 1 species